rnacentral:lncRNA from 1 species
GAGCCGUGUCGCGUCCCCCCCCCAAACGUGCUGCCUCCCCGUCCCAUUUGUGUCCUCUGGCCAUCGCCCUCUCUGGUAACGCCCAUCACUGCAAAGACCCUUUUCCUUCAUCGGCGUUUGCUGUUCUUCUUGCCAGUGCGUGUUGCUUUCACUUACACUUGCCACAGCCAGCCUCGUGAGUGCCUAGCCUAUUGGAUAUCACUGUCACCUACACAGGACAGUCAUUACCUUUCUAUUAAUACUUUGUGUUUUAAUUUCACAUUAAUUUCCAUAUUGUAUAAACGACUGGAAAAAACUUGAGCCCCUGCCCCUGUAUAAUCAUGUGCAUGUCUCUGUUCUAGCUCCAAGGUGAAUCUUCACAGCUCAUGUUCUCCUCAGAAGCACUCACCUCACUCCCCUCAGGUUACUGUACACAUGCACCAACUGCCUGCUUCAGGUUUGGAUGGAGCUUCAUGGUUGUCUUUUGGAGAAAUGACCAGUCAAGUUGUGUUUGAAAUUUGAUUUUUUUCAGGGGCAAAAGGAGCCUCUGCAUUCUUGUCAAAUAUGUAAAUAGCAUGUUUUUGCAGGUGCUAAAAACCAGACUCUGAGUGUGUGUGUGUGUGUGUGUGUGCGUGUGUGUGUGCGUGUGUGUGUGUCUGUGUGUGCGUUCAAGUCACAUGACAUAUUUAACCGGAUGUAGCUGCAAGACGGAGCCUCGUUGACUCUCCGUUUCAACUUAUCUCAAAAGUGAGGACCUCAACCUAUAUACCAGUUUUUAAAUUGUGUUGAUAGGCCAAAUAAAACCAGAGUUAUGAUAAAUUAUGUCCGCGAUACUUUUUUUCUGCUUAUUUUGAUCACGUUCGGCGCUCGAUCGCGCUGUAUGAGACAGGAAUACAUAGCAUGCAGACAUUAGCGACAGGUCUUACAGGCGGAAAAGGCUUGCCAAAAGAAAAAAAAAACACACCACAACAUCUCUCCUAUUGGUGGAAAACUUCACCACAACAACCAAUCCAAAAUUAUAUGGUGACUGAUUGACAAGGGGCGGGCGCUUACGUUCUUCCUGCAACAUGAGAAGCGAGGGAGGGACUCUCAGCAGGGAUGCAGUCUGGGACACGUAGUUGCAAACCUAGCGACUUUGUUGUUAGAUUCAAUGACUUUUCAGACCCCCUAACGACUUUUUUUUAGAAAGAAAGGGACUUUUAUCGACUUCUUCUGGAGUUUAGAGACUCUGACAUGAAGCAGGCUUUCCUUACUGAGGAGUUAGCAACGCUGCUAAGGGUGCAGAGCCACACAUGCGCUCAGAGCUCUGCAUGGGAGACUGAAGCUGACAGAGCUGCAGCAGUUAGCAGGUUUCACCCUCAGAGACCACCAGGGGUUCAUGUUGAGGCAUUUUAAAUUUUUAUUUUUUUUUGUGCCAUAGACACUGUCAGCACAAUCUGCAGUUACACUAACAAAAAUGCUGCAAAAAACAAAGAAUUAUGGAAAAAUUACACAUGGACUGACAUAGAGGAGGAUCUACACAAGUUUUUUACAUCAUGUUUUACAUCAUGCAUCAUUUACAUCAUGUUUUUUUGUAGUGGCAUAAAUAAAAAGUGACAUUUGUGAGACUAUACAGUGUUUUGUAAAUAAUUUUACAAAGAACGCCUGGGCCAUUGCCUGCAUUUUGAUGUAAAUAGAGGUAAAUCACUAUGUUCUUUGUUAAAAAUUUGCAUAUGUUUUGAAGUUUACAAUUUUUAUUUGAAGUUUAAGUUUUAAAAACAGUUCAUCACACAUAUUUGUGGUUUUCACAGUAAAAAUGUUACUUUUUUCCACUUGGAUUUUAUGUUUUGUGUUUGAAUUUGGGUCCAUUGUGUAAAUUCAGUAUGUCAACAUGAUAAAAUAACUGUAAAUUCGCACAGGUGAGGUUGUGCUGAAAAAAAUGAUACCAGGCAAGGCACGUGAUUGUCAAAUUUUGUGUCAAUAUGACAAAGCGUAUAGGCGUGAAUCUCAACAAUAUGUAUUUUCACCUUAGGGGACAAGAAAAAAUUGACUUUUUUUCCCUGCCAUGGGGGGGCGCUCUUUUGGGGAGUAAAAAUUCCUUCACAAAUGUGUUGAUGGCUGGACAUUGCAUCAUCCUAGAAAACUUGGAGGCCAGUGAGGACAAAAAUAAAAAGUUAUAAGACUUUUAAAUAUGUGGAUUUUAGGGUUAUCUUUGGCGCCCCCUAGAACCUAAACCGUGGGGUGCAGUGUCAUGAUUUGAAUAACUUUUAAUGGCCAUGGGGUGUAGAUUGGCCUGAGCAAAUGUGGUGCCGGUGGAACGAAAGCCUUAGGAGGAGUUAGCCACAUUCCAAUGUGUGCGGAUCGGCAAAAAAUGCGGAAUAACCCUUUAACCGUACAUUUGACAGAUACGCGCGCAUUGACUUUUUCGUAGAUCUUAUUGAGUUACAUGUGUGUGUCAAUUUUUGUGUCAUUUUGACAAAGCGUAUAGGCGUGACACUCAACAAUGUGUAUUUUCACCUUAGGGGACAAGAAAAAAUGGACUUUUUUCUCCUGCCAUGGGGGGGCGCUCUUUUGGGGAGUAAAAAUUCCUUCACAAAUGUGUUGAUGGCUGGACAUUGCAUCAUCCUAGAAAACUUGGGGGCCAGUGAGGGCAAAAAUAAAAAGUUAUAAGACUUUUAAAUAUGUGGAUCUUAGGGUUAUCUUUGGCGCCCCCUAGAACCUAAACCGUGGGGUACAGCAUCAUGAUUUGAAUAACUUUUAAUGGCCAUGGGGUGUAGAUUGGCCUGAGCAAAUGUGGUGCCGGUGGAACGAAAGCCUUCGGAGGAGUUAGCGAAAUUGCAAUGUGUGCGGAUCGGCAAAAAAUGCGAAAUAACCCUUUAACCGUACAUUUGACAGAUACGCCCGCACUGACUUUUUUGUAGAUCUUAUUGAGAUACAUGUGUGUGUCAAUUUUUGUGUCAUUUUGACAAAGCGUACAGGCGUGACAGUCAAUAGUGUGAAUUUUCACCUUAGGGGGCGCUAUGGAGCCAUUUUGCAUUUUCUUGUUUGGGCGACUUCGGAAUAUCAAAUUUUUCACCAGGCCCGGUCGUCCUGCCAAAUUUCAUGAGUUUUCGCCAGUGGGAAGUGGGCCAUUUUCCAGUUCAAAGGGGAGGAAAAAUAAUAAUAAUAACAAACUAGGACCCCGUUGGGGCACUGGCGGGCCCGAGCUGUGUCGCGUCCCCCCCCAACGCGCUGCCUCCCCGUCCCAUUUGUGUCCUCUGGCCAUCGCCCUCUUUGGUAACGCCCAUCACUGCAAAGACCCUUUUCCUUCAUCGGCGUUUGCUGUUCUUCCUGCCAGUGCGUGUUGCUUUCACUUACACUUGCCACAGCCAGCCUCGUGAGUGCCUAGCCUAUUGGAUAUCACUGUCACCUACACAGGACAGUCAUU